rnacentral:rRNA from 1 species
UACGUAGGGACCAAGCGUUGUUCGGAUUUACUGGGCGUAAAGAGCGCGUAGGCGGGAGCGUAAGUGUGGCCUGAAAGCCCCCGGCUCAACCGGGGAGGGCGGCUGCAAACUGCGCUUCUUGAGGGCGAUAGAGGCAGGUGGAAUUCCUGGUGUAGCGGUGAAAUGCGUAGAGAUCAGGAGGAACACCCAUGGCGAAGGCAGCCUGCUGGGUCGGCCCUGACGCUGAGGCGCGAAAGCGUGGGGAGCGAACAGG